CACUCCUACGGGAGGCAGCAGUGGGGAAUAUUGGACAAUGGGCGCAAGCCUGAUCCAGCCAUGCCGCGUGAGUGAUGAAGGCCCUAGGGUUGUAAAGCUCUUUCACCGGUGAAGAUAAUGACGGUAACCGGAGAAGAAGCCCCGGCUAACUUCGUGCCAGCAGCCGCGGUAAUACGAAGGGGGCUAGCGUUGUUCGGAUUUACUGGGCGUAAAGCGCACGUAGGCGGACUAUUAAGUCAGGGGUGAAAUCCCGGGGCUCAACCCCGGAACUGCCUUUGAUACUGGUGGUCUUGAGUUCGAGAGAGGUGAGUGGAAUUCCGAGUGUAGAGGUGAAAUUCGUAGAUAUUCGGAGGAACACCAGUGGCGAAGGCGGCUCACUGGCUCGAUACUGACGCUGAGGUGCGAAAGCGUGGGGAGCAAACAGGAUUAGAUACCCGAGUAGUCCCAUGA
rnacentral:rRNA from 1 species